ACAGUUUUGAUGUCGCAGAUACUGCAUCAGGAACUGAUUGGAUAAGAAUCAGUCACCAUCAGUUCCUCAUGCAUUGCCUUCAGCAUCUAAACA
rnacentral:pre_miRNA from 1 species